AAUUUUAAGACACUUCAGGGUUAGCCUAGGGAUUUCACCAAUGCAAAUUCAUUACAGCCCUGUAAAUGAAUCGUCCGGCUAUUAAGCAAAGGGUGUCAUUCAGUUUUACCAGAUUAGACACUUAUUCCAAUCGUUGGUUUACACAGACGACUGAAGGAUUCUGGGCGACAACGAUGAACACUAGGCGGUGAUGGUGGGUCGAUUUAAUUUACGCCAAACCUUGGUCGUGCCUUUUUGUUGGUUCCAUAGACGGUCUUAAGGGUUUCUGAAUAUGCUUUACCACAAUCGUUGAGAUAACUGGUGUUCACAAUGCAAUCAAGGAGUGUUAGUUCCUUCAUUCUCCUUUUUUUUUAUUUUAAUCGAAUUAUUGUAAUUAUUAUUUAGUUAUUCUGAAUUUUUUGUGUUUAUCUUUUCGAUUACUGAUUAGAAAUUUGUGAUUUGUAAACGAAACUUGUGAUUUAAAUUGUAAAUCGACUUGUUUAACUGUUAUAUGAAUGUUGAAUUAAACGAGUCUCAGUUAAAAUUUUGUAUGGGUCAAAUGGGUGCCUUUAACAAUAGCUUGUUUCAUGUGGAGAUUAAUUCAAGAUCGCAUCCCAGUUGCUAAAUAUUUGAGCCAUGGGGGUUUUUGGUAAACUCUGUGAUCUGAAAUCUUUGCUUAAAGGAUCAAGUGUUUGUGAUCUGCAAUCCAUGUUAUCAAAUUUUUUUUCUCAUGAUAUUCUCUGUUAUCUGCUUCUUCACCCUCACGUAAGUAUCCUCACUAUUACUAAUACCAUUAGCAUCCUGAACUGGGAAUUCAUUCUGCACUAUAUUGGAUUGAAAUACCACACUAUUUUCGAUAUUAGGAUUCAACGUCGUCACGAACUUGUGAUCCUUUAUGUUCAGUGGAUGAAACAAGCUCACUAGAAUAUGAAGCUACUUACCAGCCAAAAACCGAUUUAUUAAAAGCUCUCGCAAUAUUUGGAGUUGCGGCCACAUGGGCAGUUGCAAUUAAUCAUGAAGUGUCAAAUAGCGAAGAAUUUGGAACUGAAUCGGCGAAAAAACUUGAGGCGUUUCAUGUUUUCUACUAUUUUUGUAAAAAAAGACAUAAUUAACGUUUUAAAGCUGCAAGCCGUUGGUUGUGUUGCUCGAGGGAAUCAACUUACAAUGUGAAUGGGACCUUGUGAAAGCGAUAUCAGAGAACUGUUUGCCUGUGAUUGCGUCAAUGAGCGUUGCAACUGGUAGACAACAAAGCUCAUUCUAGAUUCGGGAUAUGUACACGAUCUGAUACUUUAUAUCAAGUCAUAACUCUUCUUUCUGACCCAGAGGUGCGGUGUGUAGGGGUAGUUGAAGCUGGCUCCCAACACGUGUUAGGAUUAAUCACAUUGAGGGACGUAUUUUCGCUCAUUUUUAGAGAUUAUCAUCUCCAGCAAAUGGCGCAACUGUUUCAGUUAUAGUUCCAUCUAUCAAGGUACUUUAAACCAUACCAAAACAUUUGUAAUUCGAGGAAUCUGGUGUUAUUAUGGAUCCGUUAAAAGUUUGUAAUUCAGUCGAGGGGACGGGGACACGAUGAUGAAGCUAUUGAGAAGAUGCUGAAUUACAUGUCUUUGAUUAAGAAGUUUGAGUAAUUUCUAUGUCUUGUUUCUGUCUAUAUUUCCAAAAAUUACAACGAUUUUGGAGUGGAAAUUAACAAACCCAGAACACGUGAUGAUAUAAUGAUUUGUACCAAGCGCAUUGAGAUAGUGUACCUGUAUCAUAUACUUGCUCUCUUGUCACUAUAUCAGUUGCAUAAUUAGUUUGAGAUGGAAAAAGUCAAUUUUAUUAAAAAAUCUGGUGCACUUGGAAUCAAACUUUUAAGUUGAAACUACUCAGUACUCACUUGGAACCUCAAGUUUGUAGCUCCGUGUGAUCGAUAAAAUAUGUGGAACCCGUUGCGAAACGUGCGGCCAAAAACAUAAAUACCCGCGGCAACGCGUGGGCAUUCCCACUAGUAUAUAUAUAUGUUGGGAUUGAACCCUACCAGAGGAACAGAUAAUGUCAAGCCAAAACCGGAUCACAUCA